GGGCCCGUAGCUCAGCGGUUAGAGCAGCGGACUCAUAAUCCGUUGGUCCCUGGUUCGAAUCCAGGCGGGCCCUCCA
rnacentral:tRNA from 1 species